rnacentral:rRNA from 1 species
UGGGGAAUAUUGGACAAUGGGCGAAAGCCUGAUCCAGCCAUGCCGCGUGUGUGAAGAAGGUCUUCGGAUUGUAAAGCACUUUAAGUUGGGAGGAAGGGCAGUUACCUAAUACGUGAUUGUUUUGACGUUACCGACAGAAUAAGCACCGGCUAACUCUGUGCCAGCAGCCGCGGUAAUACAGAGGGUGCAAGCGUUAAUCGGAAUUACUGGGCGUAAAGCGCGCGUAGGUGGUUAGUUAAGUUGGAUGUGAAAUCCCCGGGCUCAACCUGGGAACUGCAUUCAAAACUGACUGACUAGAGUAUGGUAGAGGGUGGUGGAAUUUCCUGUGUAGCGGUGAAAUGCGUAGAUAUAGGAAGGAACACCAGUGGCGAAGGCGACCACCUGGACUGAUACUGACACUGAGGUGCGAAAGCGUGGGGAGCAAACAGGAUUAGAUACCCCAGUAGUCCCUGAGCGGGCUGGCAAGGC